AUACGAAAGGUGCAAGCGUUGUUCGGAUUUACUGGGCGUAAAGAGGGUGUAGGUGGUUUAUUGAGUCGGAUGUGAAAUCCCGGGGCUCAACCUCGGAACUGCAUUCGAUACUGAUAGGCUAGAGUUUGGGAGGGGUAAGCGGAAUUCCGUGUGUAGCAGUGAAAUGCGUAGAUAUACGGAGGAACACCUGAGGCGAAGGCGGCUUACUGGACCAAUACUGACACUGAGACUCGAAAGCGUGGGUAGCAAACAGGAUUAGAAACCCUAGUAGUCC
rnacentral:rRNA from 1 species